CAGAAUUGUCAGCAAGUAUGGUGGAAGGAUUUUAGGUUUUGAUUGAACAUCCAAGAACCAUUUUUUCAAACACCCAUUUGGAUAUUGGGUCAUAUAAAUUAGUGAUACAAAUCUCUGGAGUUGAAGGGGCCAGUCGGUGGCUCAAUACUGGAAUGCUGGCUAAGUUGAAUCAGGAAAAGGGAAAGUGGCAUGAGUAGUGUAACUCAUGAGAGUGCAAAAAUGAACAAUGGUACGAAGAACCGAGAGAAUCAUAAACAGCAACUGUCCAGAGAUGUCAUGCUGGGUAGUGAGCUAUGGACAGAUGGCCUGCUUUGUGCCUUUGAAUUUGUCCGUGGCCAAAGGAAGACAAAUGGCGCGAGAGCUACUGAACAUUAUGCUGUCAG
rnacentral:misc_RNA from 1 species